rnacentral:rRNA from 1 species
CGAGGAAUCUUGGGCAAUGGGCGAAAGCCUGACCCAGCGACGCCGCGUGAGGGAUGAAGGCCUUCGGGUCGUAAACCUCUUUUGUGAGGGAAGAAGUUCUGACGGUACCUCAUGAAUAAGCCACGGCUAACUACGUGCCAGCAGCCGCGGUAAUACGUAGGUGGCAAGCGUUGUCCGGAUUUACUGGGCGUAAAGGGCUUGUAGGCGGUUCGUUAAGUCCGGUGUGAAAUCUCCCGGCUCAACUGGGAGGGGUCAUCGGAUACUGGCGGACUUGAGGUGGGCAGAGGAAAGCAGAAUUCCCGGUGUAGCGGUGAAAUGCGUAGAUAUCGGGAGGAAUACCAGUGGCGAAGGCGGCUUUCUGGGCCUAUCCUGACGCUGAGGAGCGAAAGCGUGGGGAGCAAACCGGAUUAGAUACCCGGGUAGUCCACGCCCUAAACGGUGGAUGCUAGGUGUAGGGGGUGUCGGACCCCCUCUGUGCCGCAGCUAACGCUUUAAGCAUCCCGCCUGGGGAGUACGGCCGCAAGG